UCACACAAAUGUUCAUCUAUAAACAAUGGCUCUACUCUCCAACAACCCUCAAACACUUUCAUGAACAUUGUUUUCUCUUGCUUAUAUUUUGACUGUGCUCGACAAUAAAGAGAGAAAAACAAAUUUGAUGUGAUGUACAGGGAAAGUACCAGCCCACCAUAGAAACUUCCAAGCCGCGGCUUGCUUCACCUCCACUGUCUGCAUUGGUCCUUCCUCCAUCAAAACUUUUCUUGAUAUGCAUUCCUGGUUUAGGGAUUAAGAAAAUUAUCUUAAUUAUCACUACUUUUUGAAUCAUACAAGACAGCAGAGACCAGCAAG